ensembl:lncRNA
GCCAGGCUGCAUUGGUGGCAGGGACCCACCGCCGAUAAACAGCCGAGGCGCAGCAUGCAGCCAGCGGAGGAGGCGGGGUGAGGGAGCGGGGGCUGCCCACAGGCCGGUCCCAUCCCGCACCUCGGGUCCCCACAGCCCGCAGGGGGGAGGAGAGAAAUUGCAGCAGCCGGGCUGGAAAUGCCCCUGGAGACGCUUCCCCCGGCGGCUGGGCUGCGGCAGCGCCUCUGAAACCACAUUCCUGAGGUCACGGGCCGGGCUUUGCCAUCCCGCCCCCUUGCGGGAGGACCCCCGGCGCGGGACUCUGAGCGCCACUUCUGCCAACUUUCCGAGCCCCCUCGGGCUUACCUGAAGCGGCGCCUGCCCCUGUGGGGGGUGGAGUGCGCUGCACAGCUGGAAGCCCGCGCCAGCUGUUUCCGCCCCUCCCGCGGGCCGCGGCCAGUUUUGCGCAGCUGUAUGCCCGCCGCAGUUUCCGCACAUCUGGAUUCGCUGGAGUCUUGGGCCUUCCAUGCACUGCUGGUGCCCUAUAUGUUUUACGUGGGCCUGUUCUUUGUCAACGUGCUGAUUCUCUACUAUGCCUUCCUGAUGGAGUACAUCGUCCUCAAUGUAGGGAUCGUGUUCCUGCCUGAAGACAUGGACCAGGCGCUAGUGGAUUUGGGGGUGCUCUCAGACCCUGGCUCGGUGCUCUAUGACACGGACAACGAGCUGGAUGUCUUUGAUGGGUAUUUGGAAUAGCAAGCGAGAAGCAUUCAGCAAGUGACCAGGGAACAGAGACCUCCCCGGGGCAAGAGUUGGUGGGCUUGUGUUUCUCUUGGUGGCCAUGGCUAGGGGAUCGCCAGAGCCCUGGGCUGGCCUUGCACCUGAUUUCGCCCAGCGUGGCAGCAUGUGUUCAAAAUGGCCCCACCGGUGCAAGAGUCAGUGGGGGCUCCUGCCUCUUAAUGAGCUGCCCAGAACCUUCUGCUGCUCCUGGGAAGGGAACUGGAGGAUGUGGAGGCCGUGGUGGGAGGCCGGAGACAUGCAAAAGGGCACUGCUGGGCCCAGAGUCGCUGUUUGUUGCACUCUUGAAAAUGUGCUGGGACAGGAAUUGUGGAGCAAGAAACUGUGGCCUUGAAUGUUCAAAAUUAAAAGGACUGUAGAGAAGACAAAAUGGAUGAAACAAUGUGAAGCGGCAGCGUCGGAAUGUUUCAGCUGUGACUUUUUCCCAUGAUUGUUGGAUCAGGGCUGUUACACUAACUGCAGUGAUCCAUAUGUAGCACCAAGCCUCCUCAGGUAAUUCUGGGGACUUAAUGGACAUUUUAAAAAGUGGUCUCUCAAUACUUUAAACAAAGAUUUUACUCAGAUUUGAUAAACUUUGGAAUAAAUACCUAUAUUUGCUGUUUGUGAAGUUCAAAACAGGUCACAUGUUGAAAACUUUUCUGGCCAUUAGUUCAGAAAAUCACUUCUGUUGCUGUUGUAAUAUAGCAUACAAUCACUGUAGGUUAAAUUCUGUUCAGAGCAGUAUUACGGAGAAAGGAUUGUUUUAUAAGGUGUGGAUGGGUUUUGUUUGGUUUUUAAUUUUGUGAGUCUUGUGAUAGGGCAGGAAGAGAGAAUCCAAUAUAAAUCUGGGGGAUUAAUUAUCUAACAUACUUGCACACUGUUUAAAAUUAAGAUCUUAUGUACUCAUGUACAAGCAAUAC